CUCGGGGCCAAGGCUGAACGGAUGGAGCUGCCACCAACUCGGGAGGAAGCUGGCAAGGAUCGCAGGACGCACAGGAAGCGAGACCCUGAGGACGGGAGUCGAUUUGCGGGGGGCCGCCGUGCCGACACACCCCGAAACCCGCAUUCUUGCAACUGUUGUCUUGGCACCUGUCCAGGAAGUGACCUCAUCAGAUAAACGGAAGGAGCAAGUCUAUUCUACCAAACCAACGACUUUGGAAGAACUUGAAGGGCGAAUACGAGGAGUUGUGUCUUCCAUCCCACAAGAGUUCCUUGUGAAAUCAGUUGAUGCGGCUUGAGAAACUGGUGGCUCACGCUGGCGCCCAUAUCCAAUUUUAAAGAAACCUCCAUUCAAUACACUUUCUUCUCGUAUAACUGCGAUUGGCUGGCAACCAGUUCAGGGCGUACCCCGCCUCCUGCCCGAUGACAGCUGGGAUGGGCUCCAGCACGCCCGCGACCC